rnacentral:rRNA from 1 species
GACAGAGGGUGCAAACGUUGUUCGGAAUCAUUGGGCGUAAAGCGCACGUAGGCGGCCUGUCAAGUCGGAUGUGAAAGCCCCGGGCUCAACCCGGGAAGUGCAUUCGAAACUGGCGGGCUUGAAUAUGGAAGAGGGUCGCGGAAUUCCCGGUGUAGAGGUGAAAUUCGUAGAUAUCGGGAGGAACACCAGUGGCGAAGGCGGCGACCUGGGCCAAUAUUGACGCUGAGGUGCGAAAGCGUGGGGAGCAAACAGG